GACCAGACUCCUACGGGAGGCAGCAGUGGGGAAUAUUGCACAAUGGGGGGAACCCUGAUGCGGCGACGCCGCGUGGGUGAAGGAGCACCUCGGUGCGUAAAGCCCUAUCGGCAGGGAAGAAAAGCGAACAGGUUCGCCUGGACGGUACCUGACUAAGAAGCCCCGGCUAACUACGUGCCAGCAGCCGCGGUAAUACGUAGGGGGCAAGCGUUAUCCGGAUUCACUGGGUGUAAAGGGAGCGUAGACGGCGACGCAAGUCUGGAGUGAGGGCCCGGGGCCCAACCCCGGGACUGCUCUGGAAACUGUAUGACUUGAGUGCAGGAGAGGUAAGCGGAAUUCCUAGUGUAGCGGUGAAAUGCGUAGAUAUUAGGAGGAACACCAGUGGCGAAGGCGGCUUACUGGACUGUAACUGACGUUGAGGCUCGAAAGCGUGGGGAGCAAACAGGAUUAGAUACCCGCGUA
rnacentral:rRNA from 1 species